rnacentral:rRNA from 1 species
UACGUAGGGAGCAAGCGUUGUCCGGAAUCAUUGGGCGUAAAGCGCGCGUAGGUGGCCUCAUAAGUCCGCUGUGAAAGUCAAAGGCUCAACCUUUGAAAGCCGGUGGAUACUGUGAGGCUAGAGUACGGAAGAGGCGAGUGGAAUUCCUGGUGUAGCGGUGGAAUGCGCAGAUAUCAGGAGGAACACCAAUAGCGAAGGCAGCUCACUGGGACGUAACUGACGCUGAGGCACGAAGGCCAGGGGAGCAAACGGG